CCUACGGGAGGCAGCAGUGGGGAAUCUUGCGCAAUGGACGAAAGUCUGACGCAGCCAUGCCGCGUGAAUGAUGAAGGUCUUAGGAUUGUAAAGUUCUUUAGCCUGUGACGAUGAUGACGGUAACAGGAGAAUAAGCCCCGGCUAACUUCGUGCCAGCAGCCGCGGUAAUACGAAGGGGGCUAGCGUUGUUCGGAAUUACUGGGCGUAAAGCGCGCGUAGGCGGUUAUGCAAGCCAGAGGUGAAAUGCCUGAGCUCAACUUAGGAAUUGCCUUUGGAACUGCAUGGCUUUGAGGACGAGAGAGGUGAGUGGAAUUCCCAGUGUAGAGGUGAAAUUCGUAGAUAUUGGGAAGAACACCGGUGGCGAAGGCGGCUCACUGGCUCGUUUCUGACGCUGUAGCGCGAAAGCGUGGGGAUCAAACAGGAUUAGAUACCCUGGUAGUCCACGCUGUAAACGAUGAGUGCUAGGCGUUGGCACGCUUGCGUGUCAGUGCGCNGCUACGCGNGAGCACNCCGCCGUGGGAGGUACGGUCGCGAGAGUAAACUACAAUAGAGUUAGACGGCGUGAGACGUUGCCGACGGACGACGACGAGGGGAGGAGGG
rnacentral:rRNA from 1 species